GAUGAACGCUGGCGGCGUGCUUAACACAUGCAAGUCGAACGGAAAGGCUCCUGCUUGCAGGGGUACUCGAGUGGCGAACGGGUGAGUAACACGUGGGUGAUCUGCCCUGCACUUCGGGAUAAGCCUGGGAAACUGGGUCUAAUACCGGAUAGGACCACAUUUUGGAUGGUGUGGUGGAAAGGUUUUCGGUGUGGGAUGAGCUCGCGGCCUAUCAGCUUGUUGGUGGGGUAAUGGCCUACCAAGGCGUCGACGGGUAGCCGGCCUGAGAGGGUGUACGGCCACAUUGGGCCUGAGAUACGGCCCAGACUCCUACGGGAGGCAGCAGUGGGGAAUAUUGCACAAUGGGCGCAAGCCUGAUGCAGCGACGCCGCGUGGGGGAUGACGGCCUUCGGGUUGUAAACUCCUUUCGCUAGGGACGAAGCGUUUUUGUGACGGUACCUGGAGAAGAAGCACCGGCCAACUACGUG
rnacentral:rRNA from 1 species